GAUUGUGAGUGCAUUGGUUGCUUAUCCUUGUGAUCUCAGGGCUGUCUGGGAGCCAGGACUUCCUGCGUCUGCUCAGCAUCCCUGUAGUGUCACACGGCAUAUCGCUAGCCCAGAAAAAAAUAAAAAUUCCAGGUGGGUAUCACUCUCACACCAAGGUAAAAUCCAAAAACCGUAAGUGGAAGCAUGGGAAGUCGGGUCAUCUGUAUAUGGAAGCUAGUUUAAAUUCUUGUGAAGAUUUGGCGCAACUGUAAAAGGUUAUUAUACUUUGCUUCUACCCUCAGGUCCAUGCGGGAAUGGGGCUGCCUGAUCAGUAUAGACCAUCUGAUGCCUCUUGCCUGAAAAGAUGUUUCUCUAUCAGUCAGAAUGAACCCAGUUGUACUGCAUGCUGGUCUACAUGUGAUUUCUUGUGGGAGAGACUGGCUCUCUGUUCACCACAUCCAUGGCCUCUUUUUCUCUGGACACACAGGUGAAAACAUUUCCCAGCCUCCCUUGUGCAUAGAUAGUUGUGGCCACAGAAGAUACAGGCACCGUUUCCAGGCCUGCCCCUUAGAAACCUCCCAUGGUUGCUCUUCCUUCCUGUUCCUGACUGGAUGCCAAAGCCCAGAGGAUCCUGGGAGCCAGGAUUGAAGACAGCACUCCCCCACCCCCCAAUCCACCCCCAUCCCCCUUUCCCCGCGUUCAACUUGGGUCCCUGAAGAACUGCACAGAGCAGAGCCCAGCAUCCCCUACCCAGAAGCAUCCACAGGGGUCUCUUGUAGGAGAGACAUAAACAUUUAUUAUAGUACCUGAUGUGACCCCAACAAAUACACUCCCACUUUACAAAGGAGAUUAAGGAACUUGCCGAAGAGCUGCCUGUUUG
rnacentral:lncRNA from 1 species